GACGAACGCUGGCGGCGUGCCUAAUACAUGCAAGUAGAACGCACAGUUUAUACCGUAGCUUGCCACACCAUACACUGUGAGUUGCGAACGGGUGAGUAACGCGUAGGUAACCUGCCUGGUAGCGGGGGAUAACUAUUGGAAACGAUAGCUAAUACCGCAUAAUAUUGAUUAUUGCAUGAUAAUUGAUUGAAAGAUGCUAUUGCAUCACUACCAGAUGGACCUGCGUUGUAUUAGCUAGUAGGUGAGGUAACGGCUCACCUAGGCGACGAUACAUGGCCGACCUGAGAGGGUGAUCGGCCACACUGGGACUGAGACACGGCCCAGACUCCUACGGGAGGCAGCAGUAGGGAAUCUUCGGCAAUGGACGAAAGUCUGACCGAGCAACGCCGCGUGAGUGAAGAAGGUUUUCGGAUCGUAAAGCUCUGUUGUAAGAGAAGAACGGGUGUGAGAGUGGAAAGUUCACACUGUGACGGUAUCUUACCAGAAAGGGACGGCUAACUACGUG
rnacentral:rRNA from 1 species